GACGAACGCUGGCGGCGUGCUUAACACAUGCAAGUCGAACGGAGAGGCCCUGCUCUUGUGGGGUGCUCGAGUGGCGAACGGGGGAGAGAAACGUGAGUAAACUGCCCUUUACUGUGGGGUACAAUAGGGGAAAUGGGGCGAAUACCGGGUAGAAGCUCCUGCUGCGGGGUGGGGGUUGGGAAGUUGGGGCGGUUGGGGCUGGACUCGCGGCUCGUCAGCUUGGUGGGGGGGUGGUGGAUUACCAAGGCAUUGACGGGUAGCCGGCCUGAGAGGGUGACCGGCCACACUGGGACUGAGCUACGGCCCAGACUCCUACGGGAGGCAGCAGUGGGGAAUAUUGCACAACGGGCGGAAGCCUGAUGCAGCGCCGCCGCGUGCGGGAUGACGGGCUUCUGGUUGUAAACCGCUUUCGCCUGUGACGAAGCGUUAGUGACGGUAACGGGUAAAGAAGCACCGGCUAACUACGUG
rnacentral:rRNA from 1 species